GUCUUGCAGGAUUAUUCCAUCAUUAGAGAAGUUGAAUGCCUUGGAUUUCUUGAGAAUGAUGCUGCCAUCGUCAACCCUGUCAUAGAACCCUUCUGGCAGCAUUGCAAUUGAGCACGAGGACAUAGCAAAGGAGAAGCUGUAGUCAGGUACCAUCCCAUGCUUUUGUAAGGGAAUGCUCCACUUGAAGUAAGUUUCAAUCACUUUUGAGAUCGCCCAUCGCUGAAACAACAGAUAAACUUUCAUCUUUCAGGAUUCUGCAGCUUAUUGUCUGAAUGUGUCUUCAUUUGAAAAUAUAUUCUUACUUACCAAGGGAGAUAGUGCA
rnacentral:lncRNA from 1 species